rnacentral:rRNA from 1 species
UAUUAUUAGAAUUUAUUAAUAAUAAAAUCUGCUCAAUGAAAAUUAAAUAGCCGCAAUAUGUGCUAAGGUAGCCUGAUAACUUGUCUUUUAAUUAAAGACUGAACAAAUGAUUUUACAUUUUAAACCAUCUUUUUAAUUUUAAUUAUAAAAAUUAUUUUAAAUGUAAGAAAACAUUUUUAAAAAAAAAAGACAACAAGACCCUAUUGAAUUUUACUUUAGUUUAGCUGGGGAAGCUAAUUAAUUAACAUUUUAAAUAAAAUUAAAAUCUAUUAAACUUUUAUAAAAAAUAUAACAAUAUUACCAUAGGGAUAACAGCGUUAUAAUAUUUAUAAGUUCUCAUAUAAAAUAGUAAUUUGCGACCUCGAUGUUGAAUUAAUUUUCUAAUUUAAUGCAAUUAUUAAUAAAGUAAGUCUGUUCGACUUGUAAAAAUU